rfam:Loxodonta africana unplaced genomic scaffold scaffold_0, whole genome shotgun sequence.
CCUGAGGCUUUAAUCAAAGCCACAGCUUUACAAAUAAAUAAUCUGG